UUAAAAACAGAGGAAAGACCAGUAAGAUUUUAGCGCCCCCGCCAGUGAAUUGAGGCUAGUGGAAACUCAAUCGGGAUGGACAGAAUCCGAACAACACUUUCUUAGUUGCUAACCCAAAGGGCACUGCCUGAGUAGGCUUAGUCGUCACCGGGACGUUAUGGCCGGCGGAGUAUGUUAGUACUCUAUGAGGUGGUUUAUUUGAAAUAAACAACUUGGGUGGUACCGCGGAAACCUUUUCCGUCCCAUGA
rnacentral:ncRNA from 1 species